rnacentral:rRNA from 1 species
UGUGGGCUCGGCCCGAUCCUCCCACCCUUUGUGUACCUACCUCUGUUGCUUUGGCGGGCCGCGGUCCUCCGCGGCCGCCCCCCUCCCCGGGGGGUGGCCAGCGCCCGCCAGAGGACCAUCAAACUCCAGUCAGUAAACGAUGCAGUCUGAAAAACAUUUAAUAAACUAAAACUUUCAACAACGGAUCUCUUGGUUCUGGCAUCGAUGAAGAACGCAGCGAAAUGCGAUAAGUAAUGUGAAUUGCAGAAUUCAGUGAAUCAUCGAAUCUUUGAACGCACAUUGCGCCCUUUGGUAUUCCGAAGGGCAUGCCUGUUCGAGCGUCAUUACAACCCUCAAGCUCUGCUUGGUAUUGGGCACCGUCCUUUGCGGGCGCGCCUCAAAGACCUCGGCGGUGGCGUCUUGCCUCAAGCGUAGUAGAACAUACAUCUCGCUUCGGAGCGCAGGGCGUCGCCCGCCGGACGAACCUUCUGAACUUUUCUCAAGGUUGACCUCGGAUCAGGUAGGGAUACCCGCUGAACUUAAGCAUAUCAAUAAGCGGAGGAA